rnacentral:tRNA from 1 species
GGGCCAGUAGUUCACCUGGUAGAACACUGCAUUCGCAUUGCAGAGGUAAGCGGUUCGAGUCCGCUCUGGUCCACCC